rnacentral:lncRNA from 1 species
GGAUCAACCUGAUCGGGUUUCUGGUUGGUCGGGUUAGAUGAGAACUCAUCCGAAUUCAACCCGAAUCUAUAACCUGAUCCGACCCGAUCCGAAUAUAAUUCGGAUCGGAUCGGAUCGGGUCGGAUAUAAAAAAUACACACACAAUCUACCCAUUUACACACACGAUCUACACAUUUACAGCAACAACCCAAAGCUUUCAAAACUCAACAGCCAAAUGGAGCUUGAAUCGGAUCGGGUGAUGGCGGAGGAUUGGAGGCGUGGAGGUGGCGCAGCAGGUCCGGUACUUGGUAGCAGUAGAUCAGUAGAUCGGGUCACCAUUCUCACGGAGUAGCCUCGGUUGGAGUGGGCUGUAUAACUGUCGCUUGUUUCCGUCGAUAGUGGGAUGCGAGAGAGGGAGGCUGUGGCUUGUGGGUGGGUGUGGGCGAUUAUGUUGCUGGUCGGCAGGGGGCUGUGGGUGUGUCAGUGUGUGUGGUGUUCACUUCGUGUUCCAGUGUGUGUGUUCCAGUGCGUGGGGGGCGUGGUGUGUGUGUUCCAGGGCGUGGGUGGGUGUGUAUGUGUUCCAGUGUGUGUGUUCCAAUGUGUGUGUUCCAGACUUCCAGUGCGUGGGUGGUGUGUAUGUGUUCCAGUGUGUGUGGUGUGUAUGUGUUCCAGCGUGUGUGUUCUAGUGUGUGUGGUGUAUAUGUGUUUCGGUGUGUGUGUGGGGUGUGUAUUUGAGGUUUAAUUUUUUUUUUAUUUUGUGUCAACCCGAUCGGGUCAACCCGAUCUGAUCAUGAUCCACCCGAUCCGAUCCGAUCAUGAUCCGAUCGGGUUGACACAAAUGCACCCGAUCGGGUUUUCUUUACAACCCGAUCCGAUCCGAACCCG